rnacentral:rRNA from 1 species
GGAUGCGAUCAUACCAGCACUAAAGCACCGGAUCCCAUCAGAACUCCGAAGUUAAGCGUGCUUGGGCGAGAGUAGUACUAGGAUGGGUGACCUCCUGGGAAGUCCUCGUGUUGCAUCCUCGC